GUGGGGAAUCUUCCGCAAUGGACGAAAGUCUGACGGAGCAACGCCGCGUGAGUGAUGAAGGUCUUCGGAUUGUAAAGCUCUGUUAAUCGGGACGAAAGAGCCUAGUGUGAAUAAUGCUAGGAAGUGACGGUACCGGAAUAGAAAGCCACGGCUAACUACGUGCCAGCAGCCGCGGUAAUACGUAGGUGGUAAGCGUUGUCCGGAAUUAUUGGGCGUAAAGCGCGCGCAGGCGGGUCUGCCAGUCUGUCUUAAAAGUUCGGGGCUUAACCCCGUGAUGGGAUGGAAACUACAGAUCUAGAGGAUCGGAGAGGAAAGUGGAAUUCCUAGUGUAGCGGUGAAAUGCGUAGAUAUUAGGAAGAACACCAGUGGCGAAGGCGACUUUCUGGACGAAAACUGACGCUGAGGCGCGAAAGCCAGGGGAGCGAACGGGAUUAGAAACCCGAGUAGUCC
rnacentral:rRNA from 1 species